UCCCUGGAGGUCCAGUGGUUAGAACUCUGCACUUACAUUGCCGAGGGCCCAGGUUCAAUCCCUGGCUGGGGAG